rnacentral:rRNA from 1 species
CCUACGGGUGGCUGCAGUGGGGAAUAUUGCACAAUGGGGGCAACCCUGAUGCAGCGACGCCGCGUGAGUGAAGAAGUAUUUCGGUAUGUAAAGCUCUAUCAGCAGGGACGAAAAAAGACGGUACCUGACUAAGAAGCGCCGCCUAACUACGUGCCAGCAGCCGCGGUAAUACGUAGGGGGCAAGCGUUAUCCGGAUGUACUGGGUGUAAAGGUAGCGUAGACGGCGCGGCAAGUCUGAGGUGAAAGGCAGGGGCUUAACCCCUGAACUGCAUGGGAAACUGCAAUGCUAGAGUGCUGGAGAGGUAAGUGGAAUUCCUAGUGUAGCGGUGAAAUGCGUAGAUAUUAGGAGGAACACCAGUGGCGAAGGCGGCUUACUGGACAGUAACUGACGUUGAGGCUCGAAAGCGUGGGGAGCAAACAGGAUUAGAUACCCGAGUAGUC